GCAAGUAUACCAGGGGUAGGUAACCUUUGGCACUCCAGAUGUUUUUCACUACAUCACCCAGUUGUAGUCCACAUCUGGAGUGCCGAAGGUUUUCUAUCCCUGCUCUAUACUGUA